CCAACACAACGACGACAGCUCUCCUAUUCUCCUUCCCCCGGGAACCCCAUUGAUCUAUUUCAACGUCACAGACUCAAAACAGUACUUCCCUCUUAUCUUCAUUCGACACGUUUCGCUUCUCAAACUUUACUCGAAGCUUUGAAAAAUGAGGAUGGAAAGAACAGUGAGAGAAUUCGAUAUUUUUGAUUCAUCUUCUCUGCCAUGAGCUGCGAAACAAACCCAGAACCCAAAACCGCUUUCCCCCUCCUCUGCUCUGUUCCAGCGGUCUGGGCGGCGCAGUAUGACGGGACUAGGUUGGUGGUGGGAAGUUUUAUCGAGACCGGGGUUUUAGGUUGGGUUCUGUUUUUUGGUUUGGGUUUAUCAGACGACGGAGGAGGAGGGGUCUUCUUAUUAUUACUGUUCUGGUCGCUGUUGUUAUAUCGUUUUGUUGAUGGUCGGUGGAUUUCGUUUUCUAAACAAUACACAAUUGUACGAGUCGGGAGGCGGCGAAAUUAAUACCGGAAAGUGGAAAUCGUCAAAAUCAAUCAGUUUGGCGAAAUUAAUACUAUAAACGUUGGCAUUGAGUUUGGCAAACAAGAAGAAAGAGAAAGGAAAAGAUCUGAAGGUGACUUUUUUGUUGAAAUCUUGUUUUUGUUUGCCACGUGUAUGUGUGUUUUUUAGGUACUACGUUUACCCGCCUCGUAUUCCUGUUGCUGAUUUUAUUUUUGGUGAUUUUGAAAGGUCGGAGUGGUCGGUAGGAACGUAAUAGUGGUUCUUUCUUUGCAUUUUUUUUUCCUGUGUGUGAUUCUUUAUUUUUUAUGCCGUGAGUUGUAGAGAUAUUAUUCUCUUCAAUGUGUUGUUGUGUGUAAACAUAGAAUAUAGGAGAAAAAAGUUUAAGAAAAAGGCAGAUAAACAGAAUUUAGCAAAAGAGGGAAAAGCAAAACAAUUGGAAAAUUUUGAAUUUUGAUGUAAAAGACGAAGACUUAGGUGGUUUCUGGGUUCUGGGUAUCAAGCUGUCAAGAACUGGCAAAAGGGGUUCUUUUAAUUUUGAAGUUUAUUGGGUUUUGUUAGAAUUUUUUUUUUUUUUUUUUUUGAACAGGGUUAGAUCUUGGAGCCUUGGUUCUAGGGUUUUAGCAGCAUUUCUUAGAAACAAUGCUGAAAGCAUCGGCUUCUUUGCUGUCGAUUUUUUCUCUCUUUUUCUCUGUUUCUGCCAUGGAGAAUGGAUUCCCACGCUGUAACUGCGAUGACGAAGGCUUCUGGAGCGUGGACAACAUUCUAGAAUGCCAGAGGGUGAGCGAUUUCCUGAUCGCAGUAGCGUACUUUUCAAUCCCUGUUGAGCUCCUUUACUUCGUUAGUUGCUCCAACGUCCCAUUCAAAUGGGUCCUCUUUCAGUUCAUUGCCUUCAUAGUCCUCUGCGGGAUGACUCAUUUGCUGAACGGGUGGACUUAUGCCCCGCAUACAUUCCAGCUGAUGCUGGUGCUCACCAUCUUCAAAUUUCUUACUGCCUUGGUCUCCAGUGCAACUGCUAUCACUCUGAUAACUCUCAUUCCUCUGCUUCUCAAAGUAAAGGUAAGAGAGCUCUUUUUGAAGAAGAAGGCCUGGGAGCUUAAUAGACAGGUAGGGAAGAUGAAGAAACUGAAGGAAGCCAGUUUGCAUGUUCGAGAGCUGACCCAAGAGAUUCGGAAAUCACUGGAUAGGCAUACCAUCUUAUACACCACUCUGCUCAAGCUGUCCAAUACUUUGGACCUGCAGAACUGUGCGGUUUGGAUGCCCAACGAGAUUAAAACAGAGAUGAACUUGACCCACGAGUUGAAAGGGAGGAGUUCGUUGAUUCACUCUUGCCCUGCUAUCCUAAUAAAUGAUCCGGAUGUAAAAGAAAUUAAGGAGAGCAGGGGAGUGAAGAUCCUGAGGCCAGACUCAGCUCUUGGUAUUGCAAGCAGUGGUGGAUUUGGUGAGCCUGGUGCUGUGGCGGCAAUUCGGAUGCCCAUGUUGCGGGUAGCAAACUUCAAAGGAGGGACACCAGAAUUAAUCCCACAAUGUUAUGCAAUACUGGUUUUGGUUCUUCCAAACACAGGUGGUAGAGUUUGGACUUUCCAUGAAUUGGAGAUAGUGGAGGUGGUUGCUGAUCAGGUGGCUGUUGCUCUAUCCCAUGCUGCAGUUCUGGAAGAGUCUCAGCUCAUGAGAGACAAACUAGCAGAGCAGAACCGGGCACUGCAACAGGUUAGGGAGAAAAUAUUUUUGGCAAGCCAAGCCAGAAAUUCAUUUCAGAAUGUGAUGAGCCACAGUAUGAGGAGGCCAAUGCACUCUAUCUUGGGACUGCUCUCUGUGAUACAGCAUGAAAAUCUGAGCAGUGAGCAGCACAUCAUAGUUGAAUCAAUGCUAAAGACCAGCAUUGUACUCUCAACCCUGAUAAAUGAUGUAAUGGAGAUUUCAAGUGCGGAUAAUGGAAGGUUUCCACUAGAAAUGAGAUCUUUCCAGCUGCACACGAUGAUCAAGGAAGCAGCUUGUCUUGCCAAGUGUCUAUGUGUUUGUAAAGGUUUCUCUUUCACCAUGGAGGUUGAGAACCCAGUGCCUGAUCAGGUAAUGGGAGAUGAGAGAAGAGUUUUUCAGGUGAUAUUGCAUAUGGUUGGGAAUAUUCUGAAGGGAUGUGAGGGAGGAGGAUAUGUAACAUUUCAUGUCUCCAAGGAAAGUGGAAGUGUGGGUAGGAAUGACCAGAAAUGGGAAAUGUGGAGACCAAGCUCAUUCAGUGACCAUGCUUAUAUAAAGUUUGAAAUUGGUAUUAGAAAUUAUGGUUCACAACCAGAAGGCUCAGCAUCAAUGGUACAAUUCACUGGAAGGAGACACAGCACUGAGAGAAUCGAGGAAGAUCUUAGCUUCAGUAUGUGCAAAAAGCUUGUGCAGAUGAUGAAAGGGAACAUUUGGGUUGUCCCAAACACUAGGGAUUUUGUACAAAGCAUGAGACUUAUCCUUAAGUUUCAACUCCAACCAUCUAUAGGAGGAGGCAUCUUUGAACCAGGUGGAUCAUCAGAGCAGCUACCUUCAGAAUUCAGAGGCCUUAAAGUUAUAUUAGCUGAUUAUGAUGACAUCAAUAGGGCUGUGACACGAAAGCUCCUUGAGAAGCUCGGUUGUCAAGUUGCUGUCAUUUCCUCUGGGUUUGAAUGCCUUAGUGCUCUUGGGCCCUCUGCAACUUCAUUUCACAUCAUUCUUUUGGACCUCAAUAUGCCCGAGAUGGAUCGCUUUGAAGUUGCAACUAGAGUACGAAAGUUCCAAAGCCGGAGCUGGCCAUUGAUUAUAGCCCUGACAGCUAGUGCAGACCACAAUGUAUGGGAAUGGUGCCUGCAGGUGGGAAUGAAUGGUCUCAUCCACAAACCAGUUAUGCUGCACGGAAUUGCAGAUGAGCUCCGCAGAGUCCUGCAACGAGCAAGCAAAGGUGUGUGACUAUGAGGAUAGUUGUCAUAAAUUAGUAGUCCGCAAUUGGUUGCAAGAUUCUUUCUUACAGUUUGUGAUCUCUGUCAAAUAAUAGAAACAACUAUGUUAUGUCUUCCCCUCCAAAUUCCAGUAUAGAGAUUUUACACAGCCUUCACACUCAAAAUUGUACACAAAAUUUUAUUUCUUUGGUUUAUUUAAUUAAAUAUGGCAUUAUCUUGUAGACUGAUUCACAGUUGAUCAAAAUUAUCUAUACACCAAUCCAGUAAGUGAUGCCCACAAGGGAAGCUUUUUAAAUUUAAUGGCAGAAGUGAUGUAAUGGGGUAGAGCAUUUCGAACCCUAGUGUGAGAUUAUUGAGGGGCCCAUCAGGACUUGGUGCUAUAAAUAAGGUUCUAAGCAUAUCAAUGGAUCAAACCUGUCGAUCUUUUAUUUUAUUUUAUUUUUUAUGGGUGAACAUUGUGGAUCAAGUACAUGGUGUUGGACUCUGUGUAGUGUGUGUUAUCUACUUUUGUUUCAAAUGACUCCAGAUCUACCACAUUUUUCCUUCCCUUCCAUUCUGUCUGUGGUAAUUGUCCCAAAUGCUGGACCUAUACCAUGCACUAGAUGGACAACGUUCAAGGUACUGUAUUUAAAGAUGAGUUUCACCAACUUGUAUGCUUAGCCUUCCUCUUUUUCUGUAGUAUGGUUGUACUGUAGUAUGUACUAUGUAAUUUAGCUAGCUCUGAAAUCCUGUCCUUGAAACUAUUAUUUCUGGAUCAACUAUGCAUUUUAAUUGUGUACUGAUAAAAAAUGCAUUAUGCACUGUGCAUUAGCUGGCAUUUCUUAUGUUUGGAAAAUGGUAGGAAUGAAUGUUGAAUUGAAAAAUAUAUAGUUAAUUAUGAUCAAUUAUUUUUGGUUUAGGAGCAAGAACUUUUAGUGGAAUGGCUUGUUUAUAUAAUUAUCAUCUAAUUUUUGAGGAGUGCAAAAUCUUCAAGGCAGCUAGUGAUAUUCAGAGAAUAAGAAAAAGAAUAGUUAAUUAUGAUCAAUUAUUUUUGGUUUAGGAGCAAGAACUUUUAGUGGAAUGGUUUGUUUAUAUAAUUAUCAGCUAAUUUUUGAGGAGUGAAAAAUCUUCAAGGCAGCUAGUGAUAUUCAGAGAAUAAGAAAAAGAAUAGUUAUUGUUAGUAGAUUAAAAUGGUUUGGUCAUGUAAUCUACAUAGAAGAUUAUUAACCACGCCCAUGAAAAAGUUGUAUAAUGCAAGCUGAUAGUUUUAGAAGAGCUAAAGGAAGCUGAAGAUAAUGUGUGUUUUAAGAAAAUGACCAAGGACGACGAUGACCCAGUUGUUCGAUAGACACACAGCAUUCCCUUGAGAAGAGAUGGUGUGGGAUCAAACACGUCUAACCGCAGGCUCUCCAUGGUAAGAUUGGGAAAUAGAGCUAAACAUCUGAAAGCUUUUUGCUGGUGCAGAUGAAAGGCAUAAAAGGGGUUAUUACCAAAUGUUUGUCCUGACUAUGUUGGGUCUCAUUCUCCUACAUUAAGGGGGCCACUCUCAGACUCAAAUCCACAUUCUCACUUUUGUUAGCUAGAGAGGUUUCACCAUUGCACCAAGCAAUGGCCUCUAAAAUAAUAUAACUGUAUUUAUAACCAUUACUUUCUUCUUGAACCAUCAAAACCCAUUAUUAUGGUUUUGAGGAACAGUAAACUCAUUGGAAGGUCCAUGCUGUGUAUGAUUUCAUUAGCUGAGCCUGUUGUUGCUGGUCUCC